rnacentral:rRNA from 1 species
AUACGGAGGGUGCUAGCGUUACUCGGAUUCACUGGGCUUAAAGCGCAUGUAGGCGGUCCCAUAAGUUUUUUGUGAAAUCCCCCGGCUCAACCGGGGAACUGCAGAGGAUACUGUGGGACUAGAGGUCGGUAGGGGAGAGUGGAACUCCUGGUGGAGCGGUGAAAUGCGUAGAUAUCAGGAGGAACACCGGUGGCGAAGGCGACUCUCUGGAACGAUCCUGACGCUGAGAUGCGAAAGCCAGGGGAGCGAACGGGAUUAGAAACCCCAGUAGUCC